CCUACGGGAGGCAGCAGUGGGGAAUAUUGGACAAUGGGGGGAACCCUGAUCCAGCGACGCCGCGUGAGUGAAGAAGUAUUUCGGUAUGUAAAGCUCUAUCAGCAGGGAAGAAAAUGACGGUACCUGACUAAGAAGCACCGGCUAACUACGUGCCAGCAGCCGCGGUAAUACGGAGGGGGCAAGCGUGAUCCGGAUUUACUGGGGGUAAAGGGAGCGUAGUCGGUGCAGCAAGUCUGCUGUGAAAGGUCGGGGCCCAACCCCGGGACUGCAGUGGAAACUGCUGAACUGGAGUACGGGAGAGGUAAGCGGAAUGCCUGGUGUAGCGGUGAAAUGCGUAGAUAUUAGGAGGAACUCCGAUGGCGAAGGCGGCUUGCUGGACUGAAACUGACGUUGAGGCUCGAAAGCGUGGGGAGCAAACAGGAUUAGAUACCCGAGUAGUC
rnacentral:rRNA from 1 species